rnacentral:rRNA from 1 species
ACGGAAGGCAGCAGUCGGGAAUAUUGCGCAAUGGAGGAAACUCUGACGCAGUGACGCCGCGUAUAGGAUGAAGGUUUUCGGAUUGUAAACUAUUGUCGUUAGGGAAGAUAAAAGACAGUACCUAAGGAGGAAGCUCCGGCUAACUACGUGCCAGCAGCCGCGGUAAUACGUAGGGAGCAAGCGUUAUCCGGAUUUAUUGGGUGUAAAGGGUGCGUAGACGGGAAAUUAAGUUAGUUGUGAAAUCCCUCGGCUUAACUGAGGAACUGCAACUAAAACUGGUUUUCUUGAGUGCAGGAGAGGAAAGAGGAAUUCCUAGUGUAGCGGUGAAAUGCGUAGAUAUUAGGAGGAACACCAGUGGCGAAGGCGGCUUACUGGACUGUAACUGACGUUGAGGCUCGAAAGCGUGGGGAGCAAACAGGAUUAGAUACCCUGGUA